UCGCCUGUUUAUCAAAAACAUGGUUUCUUGUUAUUAUAUAAGAAAUUUGGCCUGCCCACUGAAUCUAAUUGUUGAAGGGCCGCAGUAUUUUGACUGUGCAAAGGUAGCAUAAUCAUUAGUCUCUUAAUUAGAGGCUGGUAUGAAUGGUUGAACGAGGUAAAUACUGUCUUGAUAUAAUUAAUUGAAUUUAAAUUUUAAGUAAGAAUGCUUAAAUUUAAUUAAGGGACGAGAAGACCCUAUAGAGUUUAAUAAAUUGAAUUUUGAUUGAGUUAAUUACUUGUUUUUAAUUAUUUUUUUUAAUUUAUUUGGUUGGGGUGACUAAAAAAUAUGAAAAACUUUUUUUUAUUUUUAAUUUUAUUAUUAGUUAUUUGAUCCACAUUAUAUUGUGAUUAUAAGAUUUAAUUACCUUAGGGAUAACAGCAUAAUUUUUUUUGAGAGUUCAAAUUGAGAAAAAAGAUUGUGACCUCGAUGUUGGAUUAAGAUUAAUUUUGGGUGUAGAUGUUCAAUUAUUAGGUCUGUUCGACCUUUAAAAUCUUACAUGAUCUGAGUUCAAACCGGAGA
rnacentral:rRNA from 1 species